rnacentral:sRNA from 1 species
GCCUGGUGCAGUGGCGCACGCCUGUAAUCCCAGCAGCUUGGGAGGCUGAGGUAGGAGGAUCGUGAGUUCAAAGGCAGCCUCAGCAAAAGUGAGGCACCAAGCAACUCAGUGAGACCCUGUCUCUA